rnacentral:rRNA from 1 species
AAUCAACGCUGGCGGCGUGCCUAACACAAGCAAGUCGAGCGAGAAAAGGGGAGCAAUCCCCUGAGUAAAGCAGCGCACGGGUGAGUAACACGUGGGUAAUCUGCCCUGAAGUGGGGAAUAACACCGGGAAACCGGUGCUAAUACCGCAUAUGAUCACGGUGUCUGCGGACACAGGGAUGAAAGGAGCAAUUCGCUUCAGGAGGAGCCCGCGGCUGAUUAGCUAGUUGGUGAGGUAAUGGCUCACCAAGGCAACGAUCAGUAUCCGGUCUGAGGACGGUCGGACACACUGGAACUGAGACACGGUCCAGACUCCUACGGGAGGCAGCAGUGGGGAAUUUUUCGCAAUGGGGGCAACCCUGACGAAGCAACGCCGCGUGGGUGAUGAAGUCUCUUGGGACGUAAAACCCUUUCGACAGGGAAGAAACCGCAAGGUUGACGGUACCUGUAGAAGAAGCCCCGGCUAACUCCGUGCCAGCAGCCGCCGUAACAC